GCUAAGGUCUCCCUGACCAACUGGAGGAAGUAGAUGGCUGAGCUCUGAGGAAAGUGAAAGAUUUUAGCUGUUCAGAACAGCAAUGUCCCUGGCUGGAUGUCCACUAAGAGGUGGUCCUGGACUCAUGACAACUAAGAAGGAGCCGGGACACUUUUCUAUAAGCAAGAACCACAUGUGCAGUGUGGAUGCUGCCAAGCGGGCCUGUGACUGCUAACAACCUGCUCUGUUACAGGCAGGUCUGGACACAAGCUGCUGCUGUGGGUGCAUGAGAGAUCAAGGUGGCAUGGUGUGCACAAAGAAUAAGCAGCUGACUGUCUAAAAGAGAGAACACUGAAGCAAAUGUACACAUCAAGACACAGCACAAUGUGUGCAAUUAUGCAAACCUUAAACAUAAUUAGGGGGAUUCUCGGAGUGCCUAUUGGAUUGCUAGUGUUGCUGGUUUGGAUGUUUCAGUGUUUGCACAAGGAUGACAUAGUGGUUUCUGAGUAUUGAUGGCUAGUGAAGGAAGAUGGACUACUACAGAAGUCCUUCGAAAGGUCCCCAAGCAUCUUAUGAGCUGUGAGCCCUAUUGUCAUGAUGGCUCUCAAACCUGGUCUAGCUGCCAUGCCCAUCAGACCUGAGCCACUUCCUGAAAGUGGCACUCAGCCACUCUGCUUCCUGCUACUGUUGUCAACACAUCAGCCUUACUUGGAGACUCAUGAAUCAGCCACGAGCUUCAUUUCUCAUCGUCUUCCUGCCUCCCAAGGUCAGCAGUACCGUUUGUUCACUCUAAGCUCCCAGGGACUGCCACCUGACCCUCAGGCAGCCAGCAGCCCUGCCUUCUGGUUGAAUAGUUGGACCACGCCAAGAAUCAGAGGUCCCAGAAAAGAAACUACACAGAUGCACCCAGCAAGGAGCAGCAUCCGGAACCAGGGAUGGAUCUAGUCCUGGAGUGAGGGCCAGAGUCCAGAGGACAAUUGGUCACAUCACCAAAAUCUUAGACUUCCUAGCCUGUCAUGUCUCAGGUUUCCUGCAAGUGUUUUUGAUUGCAGCUUCGUUGUGGCCAGUUCCCUGAAGUUCCUGUGGCUUCCCACCACGAUAAGUUGCUUCCUCUCAAACCGCUCUAUAUCUGAAGACAGCAGUAAAUCAACCUUGAAUUUGUCACAUUCCUCUGAGCAAAGCAAAUGAGGGACUCUGGCAGUCAUGGAGCCACCUGCUGGGUGCCACCAUCCUACAGCACUCUCUCCACCUCUCAGCCUACCUGGGAUCAUCCUGUACUUGGAGCCUCAUCUAUGACUCUGAACUGAGGGUCCCUAACAGAGGCUGGUCUGAAGAGGCCACACUGAGGGGGACAUCGACUGCUCUGUAAGCUGGUGCUAUGUGCUGAGAGCUGCAAGGACACUGUGGAGGACAGAUCAUCUUGCUCAGGAGGCAGUUGCCUCAGCUCCCACCUGAAGGUCACCUGCUUUCCACCCUGCAGUUCCUCCAGGUGUUGCUGGGGCUGUAACAUCUGGCCGCAAAGCAUGCGUGGAUGCCAGCCAUCCAUUGUUCUUCAGGCUGCCAGUGGAGCCAUGAUGAGAGGACAUUUGCUGGACUGAGGGCUGGAAUAAAGAGACAGGCUGCCUCAGCCCCUGGACUGACAU